rnacentral:misc_RNA from 1 species
CAUAUACUCAAGACUAGUCCUGAGUCGGAUCAUUUUCAUCGCCGGUGUCUGGUCAGUAAACCUUGGUCUCCAGAUCCUUAUAGCGGACAUAUCUGUCUGCCAACAUGACGAUCACAGACAAAGUCAUCUCCGUUUUGGCCAACACGUACUACAUAUCAACCGUGCCUUUCCUCCUGUGUGCGGUCGUGACUUUCUUGGUCACGACGCUGAUAUGGCGGCGACUGACGUACUGGAGCAAAUACACCUGGCCGCCCGGGCCUCGGGGCUGGCCCUUGGUCGGUAAUUCACCGCUGAUCGCUCCAAACUCUGGACAGACCAAUGCCAAUAUCACCAGGAUUGGAAAGCAGUACCAUCCAGAUAUGUUUACGUUGACUUUGUACUUGGGAAAGCGCAUGCUCAUAUUAAACAGCUUCGAAUCCAUUAAAGACGCCUUCGUGAAGCAUUCAGCAUUGGUUUCUGACCGUCCUAGUGUGUGGCCAUUUACGUAUGUCAAUGAAAAUCAACGGAAUGUUGGUGUCUUCUUUGAGGAUUUCACGGAGAGUUGGAAGAGAGAGAAGAAGUACAUGAUGCGAACCGUCCGUCAGUUUGGCUACGGUACCUCCGGCUCGGAAAGCAUCAUCCUCCAAGAAGCUAAUCACCUGGCCGAGCUGAUCAAGAAGAGAGGCGGGGAGCCAUUUGAGCUCGGCCUCCCUCUCAGCCUCUGCCUCCUCAACGUGACCUUCUCCAUGAUCCUCGGUACCACCUACGAGGAAGAUGACAAGGAGUUCUCCAAAAUCUUGAGCUAUGUCCUGGAAUGGUUUUUGGAAAUCUUCAAACUAUACGACGUGGAGCCGAUGUUGCCCUUCUAUCACAAGUUCGGCCUCAGCCCUCGACUGAACAAGGGAAAGAUGAUGACAAAGGAUCUGCUGGCGUUCGUACAGAAGCAUAUUCACAAUCAUAAGGCCACCCUGGACCCAGGCCAUCCUCGCGACAUGGUGGACGCGUGUCUGAUCGAGAUGGCUAAAGGUGACCCCAACAGUGACCUGAGAGAGUUCACCGACGAGAAGUUCUUGUGGAUGCUGUUCUUCUUCAUCCCGGACCAGGGAGACACGGCCUCGGGUCUAUUCCUCUUCCUGAUGCUGGCCACUGCCCUGCAUCCUGAGGUGCAGCAGCGCGUCUUCCAGGAGAUUCAAGACGUCAUCGGGGACCAGCCGCCUUCGCUAAAGGAUAAAGAGAAGAUGCCGUACACGGAGGCUGUUAUCCUGGAGACCCUUCGCAUGGAUACCACCUUCUGGCUUAUAAUCCCGCACGUCACUGCAGAUGAUGUUGAGAUUCUCGGCUACAAGAUUCCAAAGGGUACCACGGUCAUUCCAAACAUCUACGCGGUGCACUUUGAUCCGGAGCUGUGGGGUGAUCCGGAAAACUUCCGACCUGAGAGGUUUAUCGACGAACAAGGCCGCAUUAAUCGACCAGAUUACUUCAUUCCCUACUCAACCGGACGCAGGGCGUGUAUUGGCGAGCAACUUUCCCAGAAACAGUUCUUCCUGUUCUACAUCACAUUGAUCCAGAAGUACAAGUUCAAGCUCCCAGAUGGUGACCCCAUACCCAAGUUGGAAUCGCAGUGGUUGUGGGUUAGCCCUCCCGACUAUCGUCUGCAAGCGGAGCCCAGGGAGUAAACGAGAAGUAAUCGUGGAAAAACUCUCAACACGCUGUUAUAAACACUUGCUGUAGCACUAGGGGUCGUAACGGCUCUUAUAAAAUGCCUGUUAUUAUAGGAUUUGAAGACUUACCGGAUAGGACUGUCGUUAGCGGCGCAUUCAGUAUUAUAGAGCCGUACGUACGUUUUUUCAGGAAGGUGUGACCCAUUUACAUGAAUAAAAUGAGUAGUUUCGAUGGAAUCAUUCGCUCUUUGCACGCUCCCGCCAUAAGCAUGCAGAGCCUCGAUCUGGCAACCUUACACAAUAAAUUUAGCCGGUUCAGUGGUUCCCAUGUCAGGGUUCAGUACACGGGAAUCACUGAACCGUCUAUUUUUGUUGUGUAAAGUUGCCAGAUCGAGGCUCUGCAUGCUUAUGGCGGAGCGUGCAAAGAGCGAAUUGCAAGGCUGCAGGUUCUCGUACUAUUUCCCAUAUACAGGGUAGUCCAUAACAAUGCCUUUAUCAAUUACAAUGUAAGUCAACUUCCCGGUCGCGGUUUAGUAAUUCAUCGGGACAAAAAUGACCCCACCUUGCUUCACAAAAU